rnacentral:rRNA from 1 species
UACGUAGGUGGCAAGCGUUGUCCGGAUUUACUGGGUGUAAAGGGCGUGCAGCCGGGAGAGCAAGUCAGAUGUGAAAUCCAUGGGCUUAACCCAUGAACUGCAUUUGAAACUGUUCUUCUUGAGUACUGGAGAGGCAAUCGGAAUUCCUAGUGUAGCGGUGAAAUGCGUAGAUAUUAGGAGGAACACCAGUGGCGAAGGCGGAUUGCUGGACAGCAACUGACGGUGAGGCGCGAAAGUGUGGGGAGCAAACAGG